GUCCGUGUCGUACAGCGGCAAGUACGCCGGUCUUUCCAACCGCGAAACAGGAGUUCGAAUCUCCUCACGGACGCCA
rnacentral:tRNA from 1 species